rnacentral:tRNA from 1 species
AGUCCCUUAGCUCAGUGGAAGAGCGUUCCGUUCACACCGGAGAGGUCGCUGGUUCGAACCCAGUAGGGACUAC